UGGGGGAUAUUGCACAAUGGGGGAAACCCGUGAUGCAGCGACGCCGCGUGAGGGAAGACGGUUUUCGGAUUGUAAACCUCUGUCUUUGGGGACGAACAAAUGACGGUACCCAAGGAGGAAGCCACGGCUAACUACGUGCC
rnacentral:rRNA from 1 species